AAGCACCUGAGAUGUGCGAUACCUUCUGUGUAUUUGAACCUACAUUUACUUUAAACGGGAAUCCUAUAGAAGAAUCUUCAAUGUCACGCCUUCGGUCCUGCGCAUGCGCAGAUCGGCUAUGGGAGAGGAAGACAGCGAUGGUUUUUGCGGUAACCCACCUGGCAGACAGCUAGGAGUCAAAGAACAGAAGCCGGCAUUUUGGGUGUUUU
rnacentral:other from 1 species